ACCAAGGAGUCUAACAUGUACGCGAGUCAUUGGGACUUCGCGAUACCUAAAGGCGCAAUGAAAGUGAAGGUCGGCCCUGGUUGCCGACCGAGGGAGGAUGGGCCAAAGGCUCCGCACUCCCGGGGCGUCUCGUUCUCAUCGCGAGAAGAGGCGCACCCAGAGCGUAC
rnacentral:ncRNA from 1 species